GGUAUCCUUAAAAAAUACCUGCACAAAAUACUUAUUUUUAUCGUUUAUUAUUUCUUUUUUCCUUCAAAACAAAAAAAAAUCUUCCCCCCACUGGCUCAUUAAAACUAUAUAGAUUUCUUUGUCUUUCUUAAGUGGUUAUAUUUUAAUUAAAAACACGGGAUGAGCAACGCCAACGUCGCACUCGUCGCGUCGCAAAACAAAGCGCAUACAAAUUUCAUUAAUUCACAUAAAACUCUUCAGUGAACAAUUUUUGUUCUGCCUCGACUCGGCUGGAAAAUGGUGGCACUAAUACACAAGGCUUUUGAAAUGAGUCAGGAGGACGGAAGAAUACGAGAAUAGUUUAGAAACACACAAACGUUCCAGCCUUAAGAGACUGGAUACACGGGAAAGUGUGCUGUGUGCACUAAAUGGUUUUGUUUGUUUUUGGACAUCCUAUAUUUUCUGUGAAAUUUUCCUUAUAAUUUGAGUAAACAAUAGCUUGAUUGGAAGAAAAUAAGAUAAGAGCAAAGGAAUUUAAUUGAAAGAACUUGAGGUCCAAAAAAAAAAGGUGAACAGUGAAUGCUAAAAGAUUUUAAUAAUAGAGAUUCGAAAAGAAAGACAAAUUUUGAAUAAAUUAUUUUCUCAAUAUAACGAUGUUGAAAGUGAUAGAAAUAUUAAAUUUAGGUGUUAAAUUUUCAGAAUAUAAAACUAGGUGCAUUUGUAUACUCCCAAAAAUUAUAAGGUUGGAAAUAAAUUUAAAAAAAAGUAUUCUCAAAGUUCAAGUCUUUAACUUAAUUCUUAUAUGUGACCCCAAGCAGCUAAUAUGGGAUUUUGCUCCUCGAACUAACACUAAGUUUUAAGUUGCACGCAAACUUUUUGUUCCAAAAUUUUGAAAGUUGGCAUAGUUA